rnacentral:rRNA from 1 species
AAAUUACGAGCCCAAGCUUAAAACCCAAAGGACUUGACGGUGUCCCAUCCUCCUAGAGGAGCCUGUUCUAUAAUCGAUUCUCCACGAUCAACCCUACCACCUUUUGAAUACACAGCCUGUAUACCUCCGUCGCAAGCUUACCCUGUGAAUGCACUUAGUGAGCCAAAUGAUUUAACAUCCACACGUCAGGUCAAGGUGCAGCCCACAAGGCGGAAAGAAAUGGGCUACAGUCUCUACUUUAGAACAAACGAAAGACUAUAUGAAACACAGUCAUUGAAGGCGGAUUUAGUAGUAAAAAGAAAAUAGAGAGUUCUUUUUAACUAGGCACUGGGACGCGUACACACCGCCCGUCACCCUCUUCAAACCACAAUAUUAUGUAACUAACACCAAAUACCACUAUAGAAGAGGUAAGUCGUAACAUGGUAAGCGUACUGGAAAGUGCGCUUGGAGUAACAAAAUGUAGCUUAAUAAAAGUAUCCUGCUUACACCAAGAACAUGUCUGUGGAAUUCUGACCAUUUUGAGCUUAAACCCCAGCCCACCUCAUUAAGCCUAUUAACAAAUUUUUUUCCUUCUAGAAUUAAUAAAACAUUUUCUCAACCUAGUAAAGGCGAUUAAAAAGUAUUUAGGAGCCUCAACACCAGUACCGCAAGGG